GUGAUAUCACAGGGUAAACCGUUUUGGCAGAAGGAGCUCAUGUAAGACACAUCUUGCAGGUCAGGCUCCACCCACCCGUUGCAGUUUUUGAAAAACAAAGCAAUGGCAAUGUUCUGAAAUGGUCUGUGGUUCAUUUUGGGGCAUUUUAGCUUACUCCAUACAUGCAGAAACCUGGGCACAAAUGUGUUUCAGGUGGAACCAAUUACGCAAAUUCAUUUUAAACUACAAUCAAAUGAAU